rnacentral:rRNA from 1 species
AAUGAACGCUGGCGGCGUGCUUAACACAUGCAAGUCGAGCGAGGUUUUACAGCACACCGUAAAGUCUAGCGGCAGACGGGUGAGUAACACGUAGGAAAUCUGCCCUGAAAAGAGGAAUACCCCCGAGAAAUCGGAGUUAAUACCUCAUAAGACCACAGCCCGGCAUCGGGAAGGGGUCAAAGCCCGUAAGGGCGUUUCGGGAUGAUCCUGCGUCCUAUCAGCUAGUUGGCGGGGUAAUGGCCCACCAAGGCUAAGACGGGUAGCCGGCCUGAAAGGGCGAUCGGCCACAAUGGAACUGAGACACGGUCCAUACUCCUACGGGAGGCAGCAGUGGGGAAUUUUGGACAAUGGGCGAAAGCCUGAUCCAGCGACGCCGCGUGGAGGAUGAAGGUCUUCGGAUUGUAAACUCCUUUUGGAGGGGACGAAAAAAAUGACGGUACCCUCAGAAAAAGCCACGGCUAACUACGUGCCAGCAGCCGCGGUAAUACGUAGGUGGCGAGCGUUACUCGGAAUUACUAGGCGUAAAGCGCAUGCAGGUGGUUGGAUAAGUCUGUAGUGAAAUUUCCCGGCUCAACUGGGAAGGGUCUACGGAAACUAUCCGGCUUGAGUAUGGGAGAGG